UACGUAGGGUGCGAGCGUUAAUCGGAAUUACUGGGCGUAAAGCGUGCGCAGGCGGUUUUGUAAGCCAGAUGUGAAAGCCCCGGGCUUAACCUGGGAAUGGCAUUUGUGACUGCAUGGCUAGAGUACGGUAGAGGGGGAUGGAAUUCCGCGUGUAGCAGUGAAAUGCGUAGAUAUGCGGAGGAACACCGAUGGCGAAGGCAAUCCCCUGGACCUGUACUGACGCUCAUGCACGAAAGCGUGGGGAGCAAACAGG
rnacentral:rRNA from 1 species